GAGUUUGAUCCUGGCUCAGGAUGAACGCUAGCGGCAGGCUUAACACAUGCAAGUCGAGGGGUAGAGUUAGCUUGCUAACUUGAGACCGGCGCACGGGUGCGUAACGCGUAUGCAAUCUACCUUGUACAGGGGGAUAGCCCAGAGAAAUUUGGAUUAAUACCCCAUAGUGUUAUGAUGUGGCAUCACAUUAUAACUAAAGUUCCAACGGUACAAGAUGAGCAUGCGUCCCAUUAGCUAGUUGGUGUGGUAACGGCAUACCAAGGCAACGAUGGGUAGGGGUCCUGAGAGGGAGAUCCCCCACACUGGUACUGAGACACGGACCAGACUCCUACGGGAGCAGCAGUGAGGAAUAUUGGUCAAUGGGCGCAAGCCUGAACCAGCCAUGCCGCGUGCCAGGAUGACGGUCCUAUGGAUUGUAAACUGCUUUUGUACGGGAAGAAACACUCCCUCGUGAGGGAGCUUGACGGUACCGUAAGAAUAAGGAUCGGCUAACUCCGUGCCAG
rnacentral:rRNA from 1 species